AACGAACGCUGGCGGCAUGCCUAACACAUGCAAGUCGAACGAGACCUUCGGGUCUAGUGGCGCACGGGUGCGUAACGCGGGGGAACCUGCCCUUAGGUUCGGAAUAACUCGCCGAGAGGGGUGCUAAUACCGGAUAAUGUCUUCGGACCAAAGAUUUAUCGCCUUUGGGUGGGCCCGCGUUGGAUUAGCUAGUUGGUAGGGUAAAAGCCUACCAAGGCGACGAUCCAUAGCUGGUCUGAGAGGAUGAUCAGCCACACUGGGACUGAGACACGGCCCAGACUCCUACGGGAAGCAGCAGUGGGGAAUAUUGGACAACGGGCGAAAGCAUGAUCCAGCAAUGCCGCGUGAGUGAUGAAGGCCUUAGGGUUGUAAAGCGCUUUUACCCGGGAGGAUAAUGACAGUACCGGGAGAAUAAGCUCCGGCUAACUCCGUG
rnacentral:rRNA from 1 species